GAAGGCAGGCGGAAUUCGUGGUGUAGCGGUGAAAUGCUUAGAUAUCACGANGAACCCCGAUUGCGAAGGCAGCCUGCCGCAGCGCGACCGACGCUGAGGCUCGAAAGCGCGGGUAUCGAACAGGAUUAGAUACCCUGGUAGUCCGCGCGGUAAACGAUGGACGCCCGCCGUGGGGUGUUUUUUAUUCCGCGGCCAAGCGAAAGCGUUAAGCGUCCCACCUGGGGAGUACGCCGGCAACGGUGAAACUCAAAGGAAUUGACGGGGGCCCGCACAAGCGGAGGAACAUGUGGUUUAAUUCGAUGAUACGCGAGGAACUUACCCGGGCUUGAAUUGCAGACGAACGACCCGGAGACGGGAAGG
rnacentral:rRNA from 1 species